rnacentral:misc_RNA from 1 species
UAGAGUUUACAAAACUCCCAACCCAUGUGGACAUACCUCAAGUUGCCUCGGCAGGUCGCGCCUACCUGGUACCCUACCUACCCGGUAGGAUCUACCCUGUAAGCACGGUGAAGCCUGCCGGUGGAAAACCAAACUCUGUUUAUUAUUGAAUUCUGAACCUAUAACUAAAUAAGUUA